rnacentral:rRNA from 1 species
GACGUAGGGCGCAAGCGUUGUCCGGAUUUAUUGGGCGUAAAGAGCUCGUAGGCGGCUUGUCGCGUCGACUGUGAAACACCCCGGCUCAACUGGGGGAGGGUCGUGCGAUACGGUCGGGCUUGAGGCCAGUAGGGGGGAUGCGGAAUUCCGGGUGUAGUGGUGGAAUGCGCAGAUAUCAGGAAGAACACCCAUGGCGAAAGCAGCUCUCUGGGACGGUACUGACGCUGAGGAGCGAAAGCGUGGGGAGCGAACAGG